AUGAUGCUGAAGAUGGGGUUUUCCCGGGACUGGGUGCACCUAAUUAUGGGAUGUGUCACAACUGUGACUUAUAGGAUUAAGGUCAACAAUGAUCUAACGGAGGUUAUUGUGCCUGAGAGAGGCUUAAGGCAGGGAUGUCCCCUAUCACCCUAUCUUUUCAUUCUCUGUGCGGAGGGCCUCUCUGCUCUGUUCCAAGACGCCGAGAGAGAGGGUAGCCUUCAGGGGGUGCAGGUUUGUACGGGAUCCCCAAGGAUAAACCAUAUGUUCUUUGCGGACGAUUCUCUCAUCUUCAUGAAGGCAAACAAGGCUAGUGCAGGAAAGUUGAUGAGCAUUUUGGCCUUGUAUGAGGAUGUCUCGGGGCAGGUGAUUAAUAAAGACAAAUCGGCUGUCAUGUUCAGCAAGGGGACUUCUCAGGCGGCGAAGAGGAAGUUCAUGAAUCUUCUCCAGAUUAGUGACGAGGCCUUCAAUGAAAGGUAUCUUGGUUUGCCUAUUUACCUGGGCAAGUCCAAGAGCAAAGCAUUUGGCUAUUUGUUGGAGAAGGUGUGGAAGAAGAUACAGGGAUGGAAGGAAAAGUUUCUCUCCAGGGCGGGAAAGGAAAUAUUAGUUAAGGCGGUGGCGCAGGCAAUCCCUAUUUUUGCCAUGUCCUGUUUUGAUCUCACUAAAACUCUUUGCGACGAUAUCAGCUCGAUGGUGUGCCGCUAUUGGUGGAACAAUCAGGAGGAGGAUCGACACCACUGGCUGGGUUGGCAGUGCUUGACAAAACCCAAGUGCGAGGGUGGGCUCGGCUUCAGGGAUCUUCAUAUUUUCAACAUGGGUAUGCUGGCGCGUCAAGGCUGGAGAUUAAUUCAGGAGCCUGAUUCUUUGUGUGGGAGAGUGUUGCGGGCAAAAUACUUCCCUGAUGGCAACAUAUUGGGGGCCACCGUGAAGCCGGGAAUCUCUUACACAUGGCGCAGCAUCUUGAGGGGUGUUGCCCUCCUAAAGGAGGGUUUGGUUUGGAGAGUGGGGGAUGGGUCAAAGAUCAAAGUCUGGGAAGACCCAUGGCUGCCUGAAGGGGAUACUCGGAGGCCACGCGCUGUGAGGGGCUCCUCUGUUGUUGAGACGGUGGCUGAUCUUAUCAACCCUACCACAGGGGCCUGGGACGAGACCAUGUUACAAGGCAUUUUUCCUCCUGAGGAUGUGAAGACUAUUCUGUCCAUUAGCAUUUGCGAUGACAUGGAAGACAAUCUAGCUUGGCACUUUGAUCCAAAGGGCAUUUUUUCUGUAAAGUCUGCCUACAAAGUGGGGGUAAUGCUCAGGGAUAGAAGCCGUGGCAGUGAUGCUGCCUGCUCCAGAGUGAGUACGGGAAAGGGUCAGGUAAAUUUUGAUUGGAACCACAUUUGGAAGAUGAGAGUCCCAAACAAGCUGAAGAUGUUUGUGUGGCGGCUAGCCCACAACAGCUUGGCGCUCAGGAUGAAAAUCGCGAGGAUUGGGAUCGAGCUGGACACCUCGUGCCCGGUUUGUCACAGGAAAAACGAAGACGGUGGCCAUAUCUUUCUAAAGUGUAAACAGGCUAAGGAGUGUUGGGGGAGGCUGGGGCUGGGGGAGACACGUGAGAAGCUCCUGCCCUGCAGCUCAGGGUGCCAGAUAAGCCACCAAAACCACCUGACCUUAGCAGAUGGGUUAAACCCCCUGAGAACUUUGUGA
rnacentral:rRNA from 1 species